GAUGAACGCUGGCGGCGUGCCUAACACAUGCAAGUCGAACGAAGCUCCGAUUCUUGAGAUUUCGGUCAAGAGGAAAGGAUGACUUAGUGGCGGACGGGUGAGUAAUACGUGAGCAACCUGCCUUUCAGAGGGGGACAACAGUUGGAAACGACUGCUAAUACCGCAUAAUGUAUCGAGGUGGCAUCACCAUGAUACCAAAGAUUUAUCGCUGAAAGAUGGGCUCACGUCUGAUUAGUUAGUUGGUAGGGUAAUGGCCUACCAAGACUGCGAUCAGUAGCCGGACUGAGAGGUCGAACGGCCACAUUGGGACUGAGAUACGGCCCAGACUCCUACGGGAGGCAGCAGUGGGGAAUAUUGGGCAAUGGGCGCAAGCCUGACCCAGCAACGCCGCGUGAAGGAAGAAGGCUUUCGGUUGUUAAACUUCUUUUAGUCAGGGACGGAAACAAAAUAGAACGGUACCGUCGCAGAAUAAGACUCCGGCGUAACUACCGUAGCCACGCAGCCGCC
rnacentral:rRNA from 1 species